AGACCUGGAGAAGAGGCUGGGCGAUAAGGAUGCACAGUGCUCUGGACUCCAGGACCGAUAUGACAAUCUGCAAGAUAAGCUUGGUUCUGCAAUGAAUAAACUGGACAAUGUAACUGGAUACAACGACAAACUCGUUCUUGAGGUAUGGACCCUGACUAAUGAGGUAGACGAUCUAAAGAAGAGAACUGUGACUUCUGCAACUAAGAUCAAUGGUGAGUAUCCCUGUUGCUGCGCAUUAUUCAUGGCAAAUCAUGUUUGCUUUGAAAGAUAUACAUAUGUUAGCAUUGAUCCUGUCAUGAUUUUUACUUGUCUUUCAGAGCUCCAAAAGUUGCUGGAUGAGAAGAUCAAAGAACUGGCAAAGAAAACACAGGAACUGGAGGAUAACGCUCCUCAACCAGAGAACGGUUCGUAUUAUUUAGCCUUUUUAUAGUCUGUUUUCAGUUGAACAGACAGCUUUUACAGUUUAGGUCCAGCCUGCUCAGUAUUUAUCUGUAUAUGAUAUUCCUCAAAUUGUUAAGCUGUUUGUUUGUUGCAGUUCUAAGGAUCAUUGCAAUACAGAAUGAGAUCUUGAACCUGCAGAAAGGAGUUAGCAAUGGGACAAACUUUGACCAGAUUGCUGGUGAGUAGCAGGCGUUCUGAAGAACAUAGGAGUCUCUAUGUGUUCAGCACGUUAGACCAAUAACAAUAGUUAUCAUGUUUCCUCAG
rnacentral:lncRNA from 13 species